UGCACAUAAACUCGGUAAAUUCAGAAAAAUCAUCAUGACAUUAGCCCAUACAAUCAACAUUUUUGGGAGAUAAAUAGGGAAACAACAUUAGAACUUUCAUCAUCUACCAAACACUGUAAGAAACAUAAACAAAAACAACAUCCUAGGGCUUCCAUCGUUCACCAAGCACUCUGUAAGCAACACAAAAACAAAGAUGGUAUUAGAUUAAACAUCCCUCCCUUCCCUACCAUCAAGUGACACUCAUCUCAGUGGCUGAUGAAUACAGAAUACAAACUGAAAUUGAAUACAAUACACAAACUGAAAUUGGUAAUGUUGAAUACAUAAUGCAAACUGAAAGUGACAUGGAUACACUAGCUGACCUACUUUUGCAUACAGGGUGUGCUGAAACUGAAAUUGGUAAUUUAUGGUGAAUUAUACAGGAGUGUUGCAUACAACUGGGGUUAUAUGGUCUACCCUGCUACAACAUUUAAGCAUGCAUUUGACUACAAGCCAGCAAAUAUAUACAUAGAGCUGCAUAUAACAGUAACAUGAAGGGGAACAAUUUAGCACAAUAAAGCCUACCUAAGGAGCAUGAUCCUAGCAGCAGCUCUUCACUAAUUUGUAUAGAAGGAAACAAUAAAAAACAAGUCAAAAAAUAAUAUAGUUUCCUUUCCAAUCAGCAAGCAUGGAGUAUAUGGAGAUCAAACUAACUCCCAGGAACAUCAUAUGGAUGUAUUCCUUGAUCUAUACACAAAGUAUCAUGUAGCAGAUUGAAGCAAAGGAUUUUUAUUUUAUCGAGAAAGAAGAGCACCUGAUAAGAACACAUAUACAUGGUGGAGUCUUCCUAUUCUCGGUAUUGAGAGUGGAACAAUUUUUAUACUUUCAGCAGUAUAAACUAAGGGCCUAUUUAGAUAGCUUGAACUAAUUAUUUGCAUGGUUAAUGGACACCUAAUUCUGCUACCUGAUUCUACUAUUCCAUAUGAGUAUGAAAGCGUGGGUUCUGUCUGUACUAGAGUUCUAUUGUAGAGCUAGCUAGACUAGAUAAUAUAGAAAGGCUCACAGUACAAUUUCCAACUCAUGAAUGUAUUGAGAAACAAUUCUUGAUAAUAGAAAAAAUAUACUAUUAUGUGAGAAUAAACUUAGACAUACAUCUUUGCAACUUCAACAAUGUAUUCUCUGCAGGUAAGCUCUGAAAGUUUCAACUUUUUUAUAUCACUGCAAGACAAAAAUCAAAUAGUUAGGUUUAGAAUCAGCUAACAUGAACAGGCAAGAAACUAGUCUUUGAAUAUUAAACCAUCCUAUUGGCAUUAUAAAUGAAUGGCCUGAUAAUGACUCUACGGUACAGUACUAGAGUACAAAUAAUGUAGCUGUGUCUUUCUACGGUACUGAAGCUCACCAGUCCCCAACAAAAAUUCCUGACAACUGUAAUCCAUUCUAGGACUAGUAGAUGCAGAGUCACUUGCUCAUAGCACCUCACACCUGCCAAUCAAACCAAACGAAUUGAGGCCUACAGCAGAGCAAACAA
rnacentral:lncRNA from 1 species